rnacentral:tRNA from 1 species
AGCAGUUUGGCUUAGUGGCAAGAGCCUGGGCUUGGGAGUCAGAGGUCAUGGGUUCUAAUCCUGACACUGCCA